rnacentral:rRNA from 1 species
AUUGAACGCUGGCGGCAGGCCUAACACAUGCAAGUCGAACGAGUGGCGGACGGGUGAGUAAUGUCUGGGAAACUGCCUGAUGGAGGGGGAUAACUACUGGAAACGGUAGCUAAUACCGCAUACCAUCAGAUGUGCCCAGAUGGGAUUAGCUAGUUGGUGGGGUAACGGCUCACCAAGGCGACGAUCCCUAGCUGGUCUGAGAGGAUGACCCGCCCAACGGGGACGUGGACACGGGCCAGACUCCUACGGGAGGGAGCAGUGGGGAAUAUUGCACAAUUGGGGGAAGGCUGAUGCAGCCAUGCCGGGUGGAUGAAGAAGGCCUUCGGGUUGUAAAGUACUUUCAGCGGGGAGGCGUUACCCGCAGAAGAAGCACCGGCUAACUCCGUGCCAGCAGCCGCGGUAAUUC